GGGCGGUGUUUUUGGUUGUAUGGGCGUGGCACAGUUCUAGACAAAAAGUUGCAGAGAGUGCAGAGCGUGUGAGUGUUUAAAUAUUAAAUU